UACGUAGGCAGCGAGCGUUGUUCGGAGUUACUGGGCGUAAAGAGUGCGUAGGCGGUUUUCUAAGUUUGGUGUGAAAUCUCCCGGCUCAACUGGGAGGGUGCGCCGAAGACUGGAAGGCUUGAGUAUGGGAGAGGUAAGCGGAAUUCCUGGUGUAGCGGUGAAAUGCGUAGAUAUCAGGAGGAACACCGGUGGCGAAGGCGGCUUCCUGGACCGACACUGACGCUGAGGCGCGAAAGCUAGGGGAGCAAACGGG
rnacentral:rRNA from 1 species